rnacentral:rRNA from 1 species
ACGAACGCUGGCGGCGUGCUUAACACAUGCAAGUCGAACGGAAAGGCCCUGCUUGCAGGGUACUCGAGUGGCGAACGGGUGAGUAACACGUGGGUGAUCUGCCCUGCACUUCGGGAUAAGCCUGGGAAACUGGGUCUAAUACCGGAUAGGAGCCAUUUUUAGUGUGAUGGUUGGAAAGUUUUUUCGGUGUAGGAUGAGCUCGCGGCCUAUCAGCUUGUUGGUGGGGUAAUGGCCUACCAAGGCGGCGACGGGUAGCCGGCCUGAGAGGGUGGACGGCCACAUUGGGACUGAGAUACGGCCCAGACUCCUACGGGAGGCAGCAGUGGGGAAUAUUGCACAAUGGGCGCAAGCCUGAUGCAGCGACGCCGCGUGGGGGAUGACGGCCUUCGGGUUGUAAACUACUUUCGCUAGGGACGAAGCUUUUUGUGACGGUACCUAGAUAAGAAGCACCGGCUAACUACGU